rnacentral:rRNA from 1 species
CGGCGACCGGCGCACGGGUGCGUAACGCGUAUGUAACCUACCUUUGACAGGGGGAUAACAUCGAGAAAUUGGUACUAAUACCCCAUAACAUCACCGGAGGCAUCUUCGGUGGUUGAAAACUCAGGUGGUCAGAGAUGGACAUGCGUUGUAUUAGCUAGUUGGUGAGGUAACGGCUCACCAAGGCGACGAUACAUAGGGGGACUGAGAGGUCAACCCCCCACAUUGGUACUGAGACACGGACCAAACUCCUACGGGAGGCAGCAG